GCCAACAGUAUACUCUCAUAGUCUUGCGUCGGAGAUACCUCAAUUCUGCUGUCAUACUACAGGUCCACCUCUCAUCCUGACAUUCUAUAAAACAUCACACUAGUCAACAAUAACGUUGAUAUUAUGCUGAUUGGAUAUGAUGAACAGAAAGUAGAAAGUGUUUUUAGUAAUACAUGUGUUAGCUAGAUGUGGUGGCUCAUAACUGUAAUGCCGUGGGCCAAUAGGCCCAUGAACAAAGUAGUCAUGGUGGCAGGGAGGGAGGAUAUGCAUGGGCUCAAUGACAUGGACUUCCUUUUCCCAAAGCUGACCUGGCUAAUGCUACUUCUGCAUACCUAACCUACAAAUAGCCAAGACCAAUACUGAGCCCUCCAUAUGUCACCAUUCAUUGGGUGACCAACCACUUGUAGCAGUUUGAUUACAUUGGACGUUUUCCGUCAUAGAGAGCAUAGAGUUUCAUCUUCACUGGAAUAUGCUCAUAUUCUGGAUAUGGAUUUACUUAUCUUCCUUGUGUGCGGCUUUGGCUAGUGCCACCAUCAGUGGACUCACCAAAUGUCUUAUUCCCCUUCAUGGUACUCCCUGAUCAAGGAAUUCAUUUCAUAGCAAAGGAAGUACAUCAAUGGGCUUAACUUCUCACUCAUUGGAAACAGUUUGGCUCAUUGAAAGAUGAAAUGGCUUACUGAAGACUUAAUUAUGGUCCCAGUCGGGAGACAGUCCCUGAAAAGGUAGAGUUCUGUAUUACUGGAUGCAGUUUAUGCUUUGAAUCAGGGAUCAGAAUAUGGUGCUCUUUCUCCCUUAACCAGAAUACAUGACGUUGGGAAUGAAGGGUGAAAAUGAGAGGGACCCCUUUCAGUAAUAUAAUUAUUAACCUACUUGCCUCUUGUCCCAGCAACACUGAGCUGUGCUGGUUUGAAGGUCUGCUUCCUCCGCGUGGGAAUGCUUACACAAGGACUGUGUCUGGAACCAAAAGGAUUUUCUCAGGUGCCUCUUGGUACUUUGUGUCCAGUAAAAAAACAAAGAAAACUACAAAAGCAGCAACAACAAAACAACAGAAUGAUUAAUAACUUGGAUUAAGAAUGAAGAUUUGUGUUGUACCAUCAGGGCAGCUGAAACUUCUCUAGGUUUAGAUGGCUCUACCUGCAUCCUCACCUUUCUUCUGGUAAAGGAAACUUCAGGGGACAGUAUCCCUUGGCAGAUGAUCUCCUUGUUAUGAUCAUUUCCAGAGACCUGGGCUCCCAGGUCAAAGGAAGGAAACUGCGUGGCGCAGAGCAACACCUCUUUGAGAAACAGGAUGUCACUGAAGACGGAGUUAUUCACACCAAGAUUGGUACAUUCUCUACACUUGCCUUGUUCUUGAACAUAUCACCCUUCUUUAGUUUCUUCUCAGCACGUAUCAUUGUAUAUAACUGUUUUAUUUGCGGAUUUGUUUUCUGUCUCCCUCCCAAAAAACGUAAAUUCAACCACAGCAG